UACGAAGGGGGCUAGCGUUGUUCGGAAUUACUGGGCGUAAAGCGUGCGCAGGCGGCUCAUCAAGUCAGAGGUGAAAGCCCAGGGCUCAACCCUGGAACUGCCUUUGAAACUGUUGGGCUUGAGUACGGGAGAGGUGAGUGGAAUUCCGAGUGUAGAGGUGAAAUUCGUAGAUAUGCGGAAGAACACCAGUGGCGAAGGCGACACACUGGCCCGUUACUGACGCUGAGGCUCGAAAGCGUGGGGAGCAAACAGG
rnacentral:rRNA from 1 species